rnacentral:rRNA from 1 species
AGUGGAUGGGGAGCAACCUAGUUGUGCGUGUGUAAAGGUAGUGCCAAGAAAAGCGAUGAUCAUGUUGAAAAUCAAUUCCCGGUACCCGAAACCGACACAGGUGGGCAAGUAGAGAAUACUAAGGGGCGCGAGGUAACUCUCUCCAAGGAACUCGGCAAAAUGACCCCGUAACUUAGGGAGAAGGGGUGCCACCGAGAGGUGGUCGCAGUGAAGAGGCCCAGGCGACUGUUUAGCAAAAACAUAGGUCUCUGCAAACUCGAAAGAGGAGGUAUAGGGGCUGACGCCUGCCCAGUGCCGGAAGGUUAAAGAAGUUGGUCAGUUUUAGGAUGAAGCUAGCGACUGAAGCCCCGGUGAACGGCGGCCGUAACAUAACGGUCCUAAGGUAGCGAAAUUCCUUGUCGGGUAAGUUCCGACCCGCACGAAAGGCGUAACGAUCUGGGCGCUGUCUCGGAGAGAGGCUCGGCGAAAUAGGAUUGUCUGUGAAGAUACGGACUACCUGCAUUUGGACAGAAAGACCCUAUGAAGCUUUACUAUAGCUUGGAAUUGUGUUCGGGCUUCCUGUGCGCAGGAUAGGUGGGAGGCGUAGAAGGUAUUCUUGUGGGGAUACUGGAGCCAACGGUGAGAUACCACUCUCAGGAGGCUAGAAUUCUAACUUAAUUAAGGACAGUUUCAGGUGGGUAGUUUGACUGGGGCGGUCGCCUCCAAAAAGGUAACGGAGGCGUACAAAGGUUCCCUCAGACUGGUUGGAAAUCAGUCGAAGAGUGCAAAGGCAGAAGGGAGCUUGACUGCGAGAAGUACAGUUCGAGCAGGGUGGAAACACGGUCUUAGUGAUCCGACGGUGCUGUGUGGAAGGGCCGUCGCUCAACGGAUAAAAGUUACUCUAAGGAUAACAGGCUGAUCUCCCCCAAGAGUUCACAUCGACGGGGAGGUUUGGCACCUCGAUGUCGGCUCAUCGCAACCUGGGGCGGAAGUACGUCCCAAGGGUUGGGCUGUUCGCCCAUUAAAGCGGUACGUGAGCUGGGUUCAGAACGUCGUGAGACUGUUCGGUCCAUAUCCGAUGUAGGCGUGAGAAUAUUGAGAGGAGCCUUCCUUAGUACGAGAGGACCGGGAAGGACGCACCGCUGGUGUACCUGUUAUGAUGCCAAUUGUAAACGCAGGGUAGCCAAGUGCGGAGAAGAUAACCGCUGAAAGCAUCUAAGUGGGAAGCCCACCUCAAGAUGAGUAUUCUGGUGUAAGGUCACGGGAAGACGACCCGUAAAUAGGCACGAGGUGGAAGUGCAGAGAUGUACGAAGCCGAAGUGUACUAAUAGACCGUCGGCUUGACC